AGCUUUGCACAGUGGCAGUACUGUAGCCAAUGAGGUUUAUCCGAGGCACAAGUACUGCUAAUUAAAAGU
rnacentral:snRNA from 1 species